AUGCAGUCGAGCGGGGAGGUAGCUUGCUACUUGACCUAGCGGCGGACGGGUGAGUAAUGCUUAGGAAUCUGCCUAUUAGUGGGGGACAACAUCUCGAAAGGGAUGCUAAUACCGCAUACGUCCUACGGGAGAAAGCAGGGGACCUUCGGGCCUUGCGCUAAUAGAUGAGCCUAAGUCGGAUUAGCUAGUUGGUGGGGUAAAGGCCUACCAAGGCGACGAUCUGUAGCGGGUCUGAGAGGAUGAUCCGCCACACUGGGACUGAGACACGGCCCAGACUCCUACGGGAGGCAGCAGUGGGGAAUAUUGGACAAUGGGGGGAACCCUGAUCCAGCCAUGCCGCGUGUGUGAAGAAGGCCUUUUGGUUGUAAAGCACUUUAAGCGAGGAGGAGGCUACCGAGAUUAAUACUCUUGGAUAGUGGACGUUACUCGCAGAAUAAGCACCGGCUAACUCUGUGCCAGCAGCCGCGGUAAUACAGAGGGUGCAAGCGUUAAUCGGAUUUACUGGGCGUAAAGCGCGCG
rnacentral:rRNA from 1 species